rnacentral:lncRNA from 1 species
AUAGAGGUGGGCCUCUGGCGACGUCAGAGGCGUGGGUGUUCGGCUACGUCACUGGGGCCCUACGGUGCCUGGAGCUGGGCAGUCUUCUCGUCAGAGUGGGGACUGGUAAGAGCGACCUCCCCGCCAGGUCCUGUGUGUUGCCAGCCGAAGAAGGGUAGCUGAAAAAUUCAGACCCAGCACAGUGUUUAUGUUGGUCAAAAAUAGAAAACUAUGUCUGGCGCCGCCGAGGCGGGAGGACCCUUCAGGCCAAGAGCAGCCUAGCAACAUGGCGCAACCCCAUCUCUGUAGUCCUACCUCAGCUCCCCCCAGCUGAGGGGGGCUCAGCCCCCCAGCCCUCAAGUAUGAACCCAACGGUUCAAGGCUCCAGUGAGCUAUGAUCCCAUCACAGCAUUCCAGCCUGCGAGAUUGAGGUAAACCCUGUGUAAAAAAA